rnacentral:rRNA from 1 species
GGAAUAUUGCACAAUGGGGGAAACCCUGAUGCAGCGACGCCGCGUGAGUGAAGAAGUAUUUCGGUAUGUAAAGCUCUUUAAGCAGGAAAGAUAAUGACGGUACCUGCAGAAUAAGCACCGGCUAAAUACGUGCCAGCAGCCGCGGUAAUACGUAUGGUGCAAGCGUUAUCCGGAUUUACUGGGUGUAAAGGGAGCGUAGGUGGCUUGGCAAGCCAGAAGUGAAAACCCGGGGCUCAACCCCGCGGAUUGCUUUUGGAACUGUUGAGCUGGAGUGCAGGAGGGGUAAGCGGAAUUCCAAGUGUAGCGGUGAAAUGCAUAGAUAUUUGGAAGAACACCGGUGGCGAAGGCGGCUUACUGGACUGUAACUGACACUGAGGCUCGAAAGCGUGGGGAGCAAACA